rnacentral:rRNA from 1 species
CACUAUGCACAGCCCUAAACUUUGAUAGAAUUCUACACCCACUAUCCGCCAGGGUACUACGAGCUCUAGCUUAAAAUCCAAAGGACUUGGCGGUGCUUUAGACCCACCUAGAGGAGCCUGUUCUAGAACCGACAACCCCCGUUCAACCUCACCCUCCCUUGUUUAUCCCGCCUAUAUACCGCCGUCGUCAGCUUACCCCAUGAAGGAUUCAUAGUAAGCAAAACCAGUACAACUCAAAACGCCAGGUCGAGGUGUAGCGCAUGAGAGGGAAAGAAAUGGGCUACAUUCCCUUACCAAGGGUAUACGGAAAAUACAGUGAAAAAUGUGUUAGAAGGAGGAUUUAGCAGUAAGUAGAAAAUAGAGUGUUCUACUGAAACUGGCCCUGAAGCGCGCACACACCGCCCGUCACUCUCCCCAAGACAUUAAAACCAAAUAACUAAUCAACUAAACAAACAAAGGGGAGGCAAGUCGUAA